GUGGGGAAUAUUGGACAAUGGGGGCAACCCUGAUCCAGCAAUGCCGCGUGAGCGAUGAAGGCUUUCGGGUCGUAAAGCUCUGUCAGAAGGGACGAAACCUAAGUGAGAAUAAUACCUCAUUUAAUUGACGGUACCUUCAAAGGAAGCACCGGCUAACUCUGUGCCAGCAGCCGCGGUAAUACAGAGGGUGCAAACGUUGUUCGGAGUUACUGGGCGUAAAGGGCAUGUAGGCGGAUAGAGAAGUUGGGUGUGAAAGCCCUGGGCUCAACCCAGGAACUGCGCCCAAAACCAUCUGUCUAGAGCACGGUAGGGGAGUGGGGAAUUCCCGGUGUAGAGGUGAAAUUCGUAGAUAUCGGGAGGAACACCAGUGGCGAAGGCGCCACUCUGGGCCGUUGCUGACGCUGAGAUGCGAAAGCGUGGGUAGCAAACAGG
rnacentral:rRNA from 1 species